rnacentral:rRNA from 1 species
UGGAUUAGUGGCGGACGGGUGAGUAACGCGUGGAUAACCUGCCGUAUACAGGGGGAUAACACUUAGAAAUAGGUGCUAAUACCGCAUAAGCGCACGGUUCCGCAUGGAACAGUGUGAAAAACUCCGGUGGUAUACGAUGGAUCCGCGUCUGAUUAGCCAGUUGGUGGGGUAACGGCCCACCAAAGCGACGAUCAGUAGCCGGCCUGAGAGGGUGAACGGCCACAUUGGGACUGAGACACGGCCCAAACUCCUACGGGAGGCAGCAG